AGUUAAGCUCAGUAGCGCCAAAAGUAGUUGGAGGAUCGCCUCCUGCGAGGAUAGGACAUCGCGAUGC
rnacentral:rRNA from 1 species